CCUACGGGAGGCAGCAGUGGGGAAUAUUGGACAAUGGGGGCAACCCUGAUCCAGCCAUGCCGCGUGAGUGAUGACGGCCUUAGGGUUGUAAAGCUCUUUUCUCCGGGACGAUGAUGACGGUACCGGAGGAAUAAGCCCCGGCUAACUUCGUGCCAGCAGCCGCGGUAAUACGAAGGGGGCUAGCGUUGCUCGGAAUCACUGGGCGUAAAGGGCGCGUAGGCGGCUAAUUUAGUCGAGGGUGAAAGCCUGUGGCUCAACCACAGAAUUGCCUUCGAUACUGGUUGGCUUGAGACCGGAAGAGGACAGCGGAACUGCGAGUGUAGAGGUGAAAUUCGUAGAUAUUCGCAAGAACACCAGUGGCGAAAGGCGGCUGUCUGGUCCGGUUCUGACGCUGAGGCGCGAAAGCGUGGGGAGCAAACAGGAUUAGAUACCCUGGUAGUCCACGCUGUAAACGAUGAAUGCUAGCCGUUGGGGUGCAUGCACCUCAGUGGCGCCGCUAACGCAUUAAGCAUUCCGCCUGGGGAGUACGGUCGCAAGAUUAAAAACUCAAAAGUAGAAGUUGACGGUCGUAGAAGACGUGACCGAAGGACCGACCACGGAAGGGGAAGAGG
rnacentral:rRNA from 1 species